rnacentral:lncRNA from 1 species
CCCGUUUCACCCUCAUACCGGAUGGGGUAUUGAGGUUUAUGGUUUUGGCACCCAUACCGGACGGGGUAUGGGGACGGCACUGGAAUCUGAUUACAAGUGUUAAGGGUUCACGGGUAGCAGGACCCCUAUGGAUCCCCAUGGAUACUAGUAGGCUGGUAAAUGAGGAAAAAUAUGUUGUGUAAUGAUUGAAAUGCAAAAGGCGUGAUAAGUAUUAUGUUAUACAGUUCAUAUGAUUCAUGAUGAUGAUAAUGUUAUUGCUUUCAUAUGUUGUUUUAUGAACUUCACUGAGGUAAGUGGAUAGUAAAGGAUUUUAUUAUUGAUAAAAGAAUUUGUUGUAAAUUAUGCUCCAUUGGUCUUUUUGUAUUUUCUACCUACCUUUACCUCCGUGACGAUGAGAUAGUGUGAUGUCUUUACUAGGCUGGUGUAGCUCAUUU